ACUUUUUCAAGUAGCUUCUUUUGAGUUCUUCCAUUGGUUCUAAGUCUCUGUUGCCAUGAUGGAGUGGGCCUAUAGAUAUUACUAAAGGCAUGUAGACAUCUUUGCUUUUGCAUGGUAGAUAGACAAGAACUCUAUAGAUGCAAUGUCCUUCUUUCGAGACAGAUGUGUCCAACAUCUAUCUAAUGGAAGCUACCAAUAAAAUAUAGGGAUUUUCUAUAUUUAUUGGAGCUUCAUUGUUUCCUACCCUUCUCCUUUCAACUUGUGUGAGCUUCAGUUAAGAAGAAAAAUGUUUGAAAAAUAAGAAAAAUUAGAAUUUAAUUCAUCCAAAUUAAAUGCAUAAUACUGAAAUUAAUUUUUAAUUAAAACAUAGAAAAGUGGGGAGUUUAAUAUCUUGCAUUUUGCUAUGACUUUUUGCUUACUUUUAACUAGGCCAUGUCAAUGGGCCGGGUCUGGUCGGGCUUUAAAGAGGAGAGAAAAAAUAACGGGCCAAAUUGGGCCAAACUUUUUUAGAAAAUUCGAAGCUCAAGCCCAGUCCAUGGGCUAGGCUUGAGAAAGCCCAUCGAGUCGGGCUGAGCUGAAAUGGGCCUACUUUAUUUUGUCUUAUUUUUUUGGUCAAUUCUUUAUUUUUUUUCUUCUAUGUUUCUUUGUUUUUUCUUAGUUCUAUAUUUACAAUUGUCUAUAUGUUUAUGUCUCCAUUUUUUUCUUUGUUUAUAACUUCAUAAUUCUUUUUAUUUUUAUUUUUCAUAAAUAUGAAGAUAUAGUUAUACAAUCGCCAUAUUAAUAAAAUAUUAUUUUAUCCCUUCAUUUUUUUUUUUAGUUCUUACAAUGAUAAUAGAUAAUGAUUUUCUCCAUCUUUCAUUUAACUUGGUUUUUUUAUAUAUUUAUUUAUAUGUAUGUGAGCUCGCGGGUCGGGCUUUUAUGGGCAGGCCGAGCCGGGUUUUCUUGGGCUUAAAUGGGCAGGGCCGAGCCGGGUUUUCUUGGGCUUAAAUGGGCAGGGCCGAGCUUUAGACACUCAAGUCCAAGGGUGACCCACUCAAUGAAGGGCUGGGCCGGCCCAUGGCCCAUAACGGAAUGGGGUGGGCUUUUUCUCCAUGGGCCAAGCGGGCCAUUAUCGGCCCAUGGGCUCGCGAGCCUAAUGAUGACCCCUACUUUUAACAUCCCAACACAUAAUAUAUGGAUAAAGCAUAAACUUAACGAGAUUAUGGAACACAUGUACAGAAAACUCUGUUGAUUAUUAAUUGUACUAAAAAUUUGAACAAUAAUACCAUAACUGGUCAGCACCAUCUGGCCUCGCAUGCCCAAACAAGUGGACCACUCAUGUUGAUCCCCC
rnacentral:lncRNA from 1 species